GGGGGACUGGGGAGGAGUGGGGGUCCUCCAAAGCCAUAGAGUUGUGGCACUUGAGGGGAUAGAGUGGCCACAGGGGUUGUUGGGGGGACUGGGUAGGCCUGGAGGUCCUCCAGAGCCAUAGAGUUAUAGCGUGUGUGGGGCUAGAGUGGGCAUAAGGUUGCUUGGAGGACUGGGGAGGCCUGGAGGUCCUCCAGAGUCAUAAAGUUGGGGGAUAUGUGGGGAUAGAGUGGGUAUAAGGGUUGCUUGGAGGACUGUGUAGGCCUUGAGGUCCUCCAGAGCCAUAGAGUUGUGGCACUUGAGGGGAUAGAGUGGCCACAGGGGUUGUUGGGGGGACUGGGUAGGCAGGAGUCCUCCAGAGCCAUAGAGUUCUAGCGUGUGUGGGGCUAGAGUGGGCAUAAGGGUUGCUUGGAGGGCUGGGGGUCCUCCAGGGUCAUAGAGUUGCGGGGUGGGUGGGGGGAGAGCGGGCGGUUUUGCGUUCGGAGGACUCACCAUUCACCUGCCCAUAGCCGGAAGUCCUCCAGAACCAUAGAGUUCUAGCGUGUGUGGGGCUAGAGUGGGCAUAAGGGUUGCUUGGAGGACUGGGUAGGCCUGGAGGUCCUCCAGAGCCAUGGAGUUAUAGGGUGUGUGGGGCUAGAGUGGGCAUAAGGGUUGCUUGGAGGGCUGGGUAGGCCUGGAGGUCCUCCAGAGCCAUAGAGUUGUGGCACUUGAGGGGCUAGAGUGGGCAUAAGGGUUGCUUGGAGGGCUGGGUAGGCCUUGAGGUCCUCCAGAGCCAUAGAGUUCUAGCGUGUGUGGGGCUAGAGUGGGCAUAAGGGUUGCUUGGAGGGUUGGCUAGGCCUGGAGGUCCUCCAGAGUCAUAAAGUUGGGGGAUAUGUGGGGAUAGAGUGGGCAUAAGGGUUGCUUGGAGGACUGUGUAGGCCUGGAGGUCCUCCAGAGCCAUAGAGUUGUGGCAGUUGAGGGGAUAGAGUGGCCACAGGGGUUGCUUGGGGGACUGGGGAGGGGUGGGGACCUCCAGAGCCAUAGAGUUGGGGGAUAUGUGGGGAUAGAGUGGGCAUAAGGGUUGCUGGGAGGGCUGGCUAGGCCUGGAGGACCUCCAGAGUCAUAGAGUUGUGGCACUUGAGGGGAUAGAGUGGCCACAGGGGUUGUUGGGGGGACUGGGUAGGCAGGAGUGCUCCAGAGCCAUAGAGUUAUAGCGUGUGUGGGGCUAGAGUGGGCAUAAGUGUUGCUUGGAGGGCUGG
ensembl:lncRNA